GCGCCCGUAGCUCAAUGGAUAGAGCAUCAGGCUUCGAACCUGAGGGUUGGGAGUUCGAGUCUCUCCGGGCGCG
rnacentral:tRNA from 4 species